GAUGAACGCUAGCGGCAGGCUUAACACAUGCAAGUCGAGGGGUAUAGUUCUUCGGAACUAGAGACCGGCGCACGGGUGCGUAACGCGUAUGCAAUCUACCUUUUGCAGAGGGAUAGCCCCAGAGAAAUUUGGAUUAAUACCUCAUAGUAUAGCAGUUUCGCAUGAAACCACUAUUAAAGUCACAACGGCAAAAGAUGAGCAUGCGUCCCAUUAGCUAGUUGGUAAGGUAACGGCUUACCAAGGCUGCGAUGGGUAGGGGUCCUGAGAGGGAGAUCCCCCACACUGGUACUGAGACACGGACCAGACUCCUACGGGAGGCAGCAGUGAGGAAUAUUGGACAAUGGGCGCAAGACCUGAUCCAGCCAUGCCGCCGUGCAGGAUGACGGUCCUAUGGA
rnacentral:rRNA from 1 species